UACGAAGGGGGCAAGCGUUGUUCGGAAUUACUGGGCGUAAAGCGUGCGCAGGCGGUUCGUUGUGUCGGCGGUGAAAGCCCCGGGCUUAACCUGGGAACGGCCGUUGAAACUGGCGAACUGGAGUGUGGCAGAGGGGGGUGGAAUUCCGCGUGUAGCAGUGAAAUGCGUAGAGAUGCGGAGGAACACCGAUGGCGAAGGCAGCCCCCUGGGCUAACACUGACGCUCAGGCACGAAAGCGUGGGGAGCAAACAGG
rnacentral:rRNA from 1 species